UAAUAGAUAAAUUUUUUAUGUUUUUAUAAAUUUAUUAUAAAUUUAUUUUACAUAUAAAUUUUAGUGUUAAAUUUUAAUUAUUUUAAUAAUAAUUAAUUAAAUAUUGUAGUAAUUAAAAUUAAAAAUUUAAGAAAUUAAGAUUUAGUAAUAUUAAAAUUAAUAACUAAUUUUGUGCCAGCAGUUGCGGUUAAACAAAAGUUAAAUUAAAUUAUUUCAGGUUAUAAUUAAUAAUAAGAAAUUAAAUUAAAUAUUAAUUUAUUAGGUGAAAUUUUAAUUAUAAUUAAAAUUUAUAUAAAAAUUAUGAUUUAAUAAAUUUUAAUUUAAACUAGGAUUAGAUACCCUAUUAUUAAAAAUUUAAUUUAAAGUACUAAAAUAGUAAAUAAUAUAUUAUUGAAACUUAAAUAAUAUGGCGGUAUUUUAGUUCAUUUAGAGGAAUCUGUCUAAUAAUUGAUAAUCCACGAAUGAAUUUACUUAAUUUAUAAUUUUGUAUAUCAUUGUUAAAAAAAUAUUUUUAAAUAAUUAAUAAUAUUUUAAAAUUUAAAAUAAAAUUUAAUUCAGAUCAAGAUGCAGAUUAUAAUUGAGAUUAAGAUGGAUUACAAUAAAUUUAUUUAAACAAAAAAAAAAAUUUGUAAAAUAUAAUGGAAGGUGGAUUUAAAUGUAAUUUUAAUUAAUUUAUUAAAAUGAUUAAAAAUUAAAAUAUGUACAUAUUGCCCGUCACUUUCAUUUUAAAAUUGAAAUAAGUCGUAACAAAGUAGAGGUACUGGAAAGUGUUUCUAGAAUGAA
rnacentral:ncRNA from 1 species